UAACCUGCCCAAGAGAUCGGGAUAACACCUGGAAACAGAUGCUAAUACCGGAUAACAACAGAUGAUGCCUAUCAACUGUUUAAAAGAUGGUUCUGCUAUCACUCUUGGAUGGACCUGCGGUGCAUUAGCUAGUUGGUAGGGUAACGGCCUACCAAGGCGAUGAUGCAUAGCCGAGUUGAGAGACUGAUAGGCCACAUUGGGACUGAGACACGGCCCAAACUCCUACGGGAGGCAGCAGCU
rnacentral:rRNA from 1 species